GGAGGGGUUCCCGAGUGGCCAAAGGGAUCAGACUGUAAAUCUGACGCGCAAGCUUCGGUGGUUCGAAUCCACCCCCCUGCACCA
rnacentral:tRNA from 1 species